GCGAAAGUGACGGUACCUACAGAAGAAGGACCGGCCAACUACGUGCCAGCAGCCGCGGUAAUACGUAGGGUCCGAGCGUUGUCCGGAAUUACUGGGCGUAAAGAGCUCGUAGGUGGUUUGUCACGUUGUUCGUGAAAACCCACAGCUUAACUGUGGGCGUGCGGGCGAUACGGGCAGACUAGAGUACUGCAGGGGAGACUGGAAUUCCUGGUGUAGCGGUGGAAUGCGCAGAUAUCAGGAGGAACACCGGUGGCGAAGGCGGGUCUCUGGGCAGUAACUGACGCUGAGGAGCGAAAGCGUGGGUAGCGAACAGGAUUAGAUACCCUGGUAGUCCACGCCGUAAACGGUGGGUACUAGGUGUGGGUUUCCUUCCUUGGGAUCCGUGCCGUAGCUAACGCAUUAAGUACCCCGCCUGGGGAGUACGGUCGCAAGACUAAAACUCAAAGGAAUUGACGGGGGCCCGCACAAGCGGCGGAGCAUGUGGAUUAAUUCGAUGCAACGCGAAGAACCUUACCUGGGUUUGACAUGCACAGGACGUACCUAGAGAUAGGUAUUCCCUUGUGGCCUGUGUGCA
rnacentral:rRNA from 1 species